ACCUGAUAGGUUCCUUUUGUAGUUGUGAAGACAAGUUGAGACAAGCAUUGAGAAGCGCAGAGAAGAUGUGAAAGUAAAGAAGCAGAAGGAUCCCUAAAAGCAGUCGCACAGCAAGCGCUGCUCAGCCCUUCAAGACAGUAUAGACAAUUGUGCACUGAUGGAAACAUCCUUGGCCACAGUGACCGCACACACUGUCCAACUACGCUGUGUCAACAAUUGAGACCUUCAUGCUCCUGCAAAGUACAAUCUAUCAGGACCUGAAGUGGAAGGCCAACAUCAAUUCCAUGCUCAAAAAGUCUGCUUUGGUGCUGCUACAAAGGAGAAAAUUAAACCACUACAGACAGCGAGGUUUGCUGAAAGGACCAUCAGAGCCCAGUACUCUGUGUUGAAGACUUGCAAGCUGCAAGGGUGAAGAGGAGGGCAGGCAAAAUACUUUUGUCAGACUUCACUUCGGACACCAUUUUAUACAGCCUUGGUUGGUAGUAUUGAAAAACGCACACCUCCCAACUGAGUCUCUUCCGGUCAUAAGAUUGUUCAACAGUUGAACCGCAAUCUCAACAUCAAACGUUGUGUUGAUGAGAGAAAUCAUUAUACUAUUGGGCACUUGAUAUUGGUGUCGGACUCUAUCGUUGUACAUUUGUGGGAAUGUCCAGUAAAUCAAUUUUAGUAUCGUUUCUUGCUACUAGAAUGACUCCAACCACCAGAGUCAAAUUCCUUGUAUGUUUUAAUAUACCUGUACUUAUAAAGAUAAUUCUGCAGCUGUGAAGUCCUGCAGUGUUAGCUGAUAGCUAUGGAAUGUGUGAAACAAGCAGAAUGUGCCUGUUACAGCUGUGAAUGACGUGGAAUGUUUAAAGUGCCCUUUUUAAACUCAAUAACUCUAUUGUCUUGCAUUGUAGCGUGGUCUGCAUUUCUAGCCCGUGUGAAUGUUUUACUCAGAGCGUUAUCUAUUUUGACAACCUGUGGUGUGCAGUGUCGAAGGUUAGGAAAGCAAAUAAAUUUGAGAACAGUAAUAUGCAAUAGUUGAACAGUUUAGCUACUUUUUUUUUAAACAGAAUCACGUAUGUGGUUUUUAGGGGAACAAUUGAGAGGACUUUUCUUUACGUAAUGUUUUGUUCUUUACAUUAAUUUACAUGGUGGAUAGCAAAUAGGGUGACACGGUGGUCAGUCAACUGGAUAGCAUGUGUGCUUCACAGUGCAGAGGUACAGGGUCUGAUUCCGGCUCCGGUCUUAGUGUGUGGAGCUUGCAUGUUCUCCCCGUAUCUCGAACAUCUCUACUAGAGACACAAGUGACUUUUAAACACAAUACUUAGUCAUGAUUCAUGGUUCUUAAUUAUGUGCUGCAAGAGUGAGUGAACAAUAAUUGAAUAAAAGGGGUGGAUGAACACAAGUCUGCUACUGUUACCAGGGAAUAAUUCACCGCUCACAUUAAAACGUAAAAUUUAGAGUAAGAGGAACUGCAAAAACAUCUCCACUUGCAGAUGUCGUAAAGUUGGGCUGCCGUGGUUGGGCACCCUACAUGUGUGAGAAAACCCACCCCACCACCACCCAUAAUGAUGCCGGCAGCGGGAGUUUGAUUAAAAAUAUUUUUGAGAUGGUAAUGAUAAUAAUAAGUUUAAUGAAAUGAUUUCUGCAAUGAUUCAGAGGGAUUGUCCCACGCGGUUGUCAUAUUUAUAAAUG